AUUGAACGCUGGCGGCAGGCUUAACACAUGCAAGUCGAGCGGGGUGAUGGUGCUUGCACUAUCACUUAGCGGCGGACGGGUGAGUAAUGCUUAGGAAUCUGCCUAUUAGUGGGGGACAACAUCUCGAAAGGGAUGCUAAUACCGCAUACGUCCUACGGGAGAAAGCAGGGGAUCACUUGUGACCUUGCGCUAAUAGAUGAGCCUAAGUCGGAUUAGCUAGUUGGUGGGGUAAAGGCCUACCAAGGCGACGAUCUGUAGCGGGUCUGGGAGGAGACUCCGCCACACUGGGACUGAGAAACGGCCCAGACUCCUACGGGAGGCAGCAGUGGGGAAUAUUGGACAAGGGGGGGAACCCUGAUCCAGCCAUGCCGCGUGUGUGAAGAAGGCCUUAUGGUUGUAAAGCACUUUAAGCGAGGAGGAGGCUCUUUUGGUUAAUACCCAAGAUGAGUGGACGUUACUCGCAGAAUAAGCACCGGCUAACUCUGUGCCAGCCGCCGCCGUAA
rnacentral:rRNA from 1 species